UACGUAGGCAGCAAGCGUUGUUCGGAAUUACUGGGCGUAAAGAGUGUGUAGGCGGUGUUCUAAGUUUGUCGUGAAAUCUCCCGGCUUAACUGGGAGGGUGCGGCGAAAACUGGAAUGCUAGAGGAUGGGAGAGGUAAGCGGUACUCGAUGGGUAGGGGUAAAAUCCGUUGAUCCAUUGAAGACCACCAGUGGCGAAGGCGGCUUGCCAGAACGCGCUCGACGGUGAGGGAUGAAAGCUGGGGGAGCAAACCGG
rnacentral:rRNA from 1 species